UUAAGUGAGAAAGCGUACAGGGCGGAUGCCUUGGCAAUCAGAGGCGAUGAAGGACGUGCUAAUCUGCGAAAAGCGUGGGUGAGUUGAUAAGAAGCGUUUAACCCACGAUGUCCGAAUGGGGAAACCCGAUAGGUGAAGAACCUAUCAUUGUUUACUGAAUAAAAUAGGUAAACAAGGCGAACCGGGAGAACUGAAACAUCUAAGUACCCCGAGGAAAAGAAAUCAACCGAGAUUCUGUGAGUAGCGGCGAGCGAAAGCGGAGUAGCCAGUAAGUGAUAGCAUGUGAUUUAGGAGAAUUAGCUGGGAAGCUAAGCGACACAGGGUGAUAGCCCCGUAUCUGAAAGAUUGCGUGUGGUACUAAGUUUACGAGAAGUAGGGCGGGACACGAGGAAUCCUGUUUGAAGAUGGGGGGACCAUCCUCCAAGGCUAAAUACUCCUGAUUGACCGAUAGUGAACCAGUACUGUGAAGGAAAGGCGAAAAGAACCCCGGUGAGGGGAGUGAAAUAGAACCUGAAACCCUGUACGUACAAGCAGUGGGAGCCACACCACUAAAGCGUAUUGAAAACGUGGAAAAAAAACACCGCACUUUAUGAGUGUUAACAUUUUACGAAGUAAAAUGUUUAUCCCUAAAAUAAGCAGUGGGUUUUAGAUAGCGUUAAGAUGGGUGAUUUGCAAAGCAAAUCACAAAGCCUAAAGCAGUAUGCUUUAGGGUGUGGUGACUGCGUACCUUUUGUAUAAUGGGUCAGCGACUUAUAUUUUGUAGCGAGGUUAACUGAAUAAGGGAGCCGAAGGGAAACCGAGUCUUAACUGGGCGUUGAGUUGCAAGGUAUAGACCCGAAACCCGGUGAUCUAGCCAUGGGCAGGUUGAAGGUUGGGUAACACUAACUGGAGGACCGAACCGACUAAUGUUGAAAAAUUAGCGGAUGACUUGUGGCUGGGGGUGAAAGGCCAAUCAAACCGGGAGAUAGCUGGUUCUCCCCGAAAUCUAUUUAGGUAGAGCCUUGAGCGGACACCUUUGGGGGUAGAGCACUGUUUCGGCUAGGGGCCCAUCCCGGGUUACCAAACCGAUGCAAACUCCGAAUACCGAAGAGUGAUACUCAGGAGACACACGGCGGGUGCUAACGUCCGUCGUGGAGAGGGAAACAACCCAGACCGCCAGCUAAGGUCCCAAAAUCUAUAUUAAGUGGGAAACGAAGUGGGAAGGCUUAGACAGCUAGGAUGUUGGCUUAGAAGCAGCCACCAUUUAAAGAAAGCGUAAUAGCUCACUAGUCGAGUCGGCCUGCGCGGAAGAUGUAACGGGGCUAAAAUAUAGUACCGAAGCUGCGGCAUCAGGCGUAUCACUAAUACGCCUUAACGAUUAACCACUUGCGAAGCAAGUGAGUAAAGCGAAAAACACGUUGAGUGUAGAGAGAAAAUCGAAGAGGGAUAUUAGUGAUACGUCUGUUGGGUAGGGGAGCGUUGUGUAAGUCGAUGAAGAUGGAUUGAGAAGUCUGUUGGAGAUAUCACAAGUGCGAAUGCUGACAUAAGUAACGAUAAAACGGGUGAAAAACCCGUUCGCCGGAAGACCAAGGGUUCCUGUCCAACGUUAAUCGGGGCAGGGUGAGUCGGCCCCUAAGGCGAGGCUGAAAAGCGUAGUCGAUGGGAAACGGGUUAAUAUUCCCGUACUUGGUAAAGCUGCGAUGUGGGGACGGAGAAGGUUAGGUUAUCGACCUGUUGGAAAUGGUCGUUUAAGUUGGUAGGUGGGUGAGUUAGGCAAAUCCGGCUCACCGUUAACACUGAGAGAUGAUGACGAGGCACUAAGGUGCUGAAGUAACUGAUACCACACUUCCAGGAAAAGCCACUAAGCUUCAGGCUUUACUAAACCGUACUGAAAACCGACACAGGUGGUCAGGUAGAGAAUACUCAGGCGCUUGAGAGAACUCGGGUGAAGGAACUAGGCAAAAUAGCACCGUAACUUCGGGAGAAGGUGCGCUGGCGUAGUGUGAAGUUCUUUACGGAUGGAGCAUGAACCAGUCGAAGAUACCAGCUGGCUGCAACUGUUUAUUAAAAACACAGCACUCUGCAAACACGAAAGUGGACGUAUAGGGUGUGAUGCCUGCCCGGUGCUGGAAGGUUAAUUGAUGGUGUAAUCGAAAGAGAAGCUCCUGAUCGAAGCCCCAGUAAACGGCGGCCGUAACUAUAACGGUCCUAAGGUAGCGAAAUUCCUUGUCGGGUAAGUUCCGACCUGCACGAAUGGCAUAAUGAUGGCCAGGCUGUCUCCACCCGAGACUCAGUGAAAUUGAAAUCGCCGUGAAGAUGCGGUGUACCCGCGGCUAGACGGAAAGACCCCGUGAACCUUUACUAUAGCUUGACACUGAACCUUGAAUUUUGAUGUGUAGGAUAGGUGGGAGACUAUGAAGCGGUAACGCCAGUUAUCGUGGAGUCGUUGUUGAAAUACCACCCUUUAACGUUUGAUGUUCUAACGAAGCGCCUGAAACGGGUGUUCGGACAGUGUCUGGUGGGUAGUUUGACUGGGGCGGUCUCCUCCCAAAGCGUAACGGAGGAGCACGAAGGUUUGCUAAUGACGGUCGGACAUCGUCAGGUUAGUGCAAUGGUAUAAGCAAGCUUAACUGCGAGACAGACAAGUCGAGCAGGUGCGAAAGCAGGUCAUAGUGAUCCGGUGGUUCUGAAUGGAAGGGCCAUCGCUCAACGGAUAAAAGGUACUCCGGGGAUAACAGGCUGAUACCGCCCAAGAGUUCAUAUCGACGGCGGUGUUUGGCACCUCGAUGUCGGCUCAUCACAUCCUGGGGCUGAAGUAGGUCCCAAGGGUAUGGCUGUUCGCCAUUUAAAGUGGUACGCGAGCUGGGUUUAGAACGUCGUGAGACAGUUCGGUCCCUAUCUGCCGUGGGCGUUGGAGAAUUGAGAGGGGCUGCUCCUAGUACGAGAGGACCGGAGUGGACGCAUCACUGGUGUACCAGUUGUCUCGCCAGAGGCACAGCUGGGUAGCUAAAUGCGGAAGAGAUAAGUGCUGAAAGCAUCUAAGCACGAAACUUGCCUUGAGAUGAGUUCUCCCAGUCUAUAAGACUGUAAGGGUUGUUUGAGACUAAGACGUAGAUAGGCUGGGUGUGUAAGCGGUGUGAGCCGUUGAGCUAACCAGUACUAAUUGCCCGAGAGGCUUAACUAU
rnacentral:rRNA from 1 species